rnacentral:rRNA from 1 species
CCUACGGGUGGCAGCAGUGAGGAAUAUUGGUCAAUGGGAGAGAUCCUGAACCAGCCAAGCCGCGUGCAGGAAGACGGCCCUAUGGGUUGUAAACCUCUUUUGUCCGGGAAUAAAACCCGUGACGUGUCCCGGUCUGCGUGUAUCCGAAGAAAAAGCAUCGGCUAACUCCGUGCCAGCAGCCGCGGUAAUACGGAGGAUGCGGGCGUUAUCCGGAUUUAUUGGGUUUAAAGGGAGCGUAGGCGGCCCGUUAAGCCAGCGGUAAAAUUUCGGGGCUCAACCCCGUCGAGCCGUUGAACCUGGCAGACUUGAGUUGGCGAGAAGUACGCGGAAUGCGCGGUGUAGCGGUGAAAUGCUUAGAUAUGGCGCAGAACCCCGAUUGCGAAGGCAGCGUGCCGGCGCCAGACUGACGCUGAGGCACGAAAGCGUGGGGAUCGAACAGGAUUAGAUACCCUAGUAGUC